CAAUUCCUCUGAGACCCUGAGAUCCUGGUGUGACCAAGCUUCUGGGAUGCUGGGAUCCUGGAAUCCUAAGAUCCUGGGCAUGUUAAAGCGCCUGGAAAUGGUACCUCCUCUGGAGACCAAGGGGCUGUCUGCUGUGUUCAAAAUCAAGCUGCAUCUCUAACAGAUGAGUGUUGAUCUCUGUUACACUAAAGUGUAUGUGUGCACAUGAAUGCAGGCACUCAUGGGGACCAAAAGAGGCUCUCCUUCCAGGUACACACUUCUCCUUGGCCACUGGCAGCUACAGAAUCAUAUAUGUUAAAAAUACUUCGUGCCAGCAGAAGAAUCCAGCCUCUGUGACAACCAUAGAAAUGUGCUGUUCUUUAAUCGCUGGCUGACUCAGUUGUGGUGAACACCAGAGGAACAAGCUUUUUGGUUUAAGUUC
ensembl:processed_transcript Gm13266 predicted gene 13266